ensembl:lncRNA
UCAAAUUUUUCAAGUGCCUGGCAAAAGAGUACACAAAUCUUUCCUCCAGACAAGCUACUUGAAUUACGAGCCCUUGCUUUCAUACAUAUAUAUGUAUAUAUAUACAUAUUUACCCAAAGGGAAAUUCACAGAUAUGGAAAAUAAUAAAUCUUUCACUGCUUUAUUUGAUUCUUCCUUUGACUCAGCUUCAAAAGACAGACUGUGGGGCUUUAAUCUGACCACAGGCCAAUGGAGUCAGUGCUUUGUUGAAGGACUGCCAUGGAAAUGGGGAGUGAUGCAGCUCCGGAGGAGGCACAUUACGCUGAUCCAGUGCAGCAGACCCUUACCACACCUGUUUUCAAAGUAGCUAUCGGCUUUGUUGACAAAGGAAAAUUUAGGGCUGAGUACAAAUCCUGUUCCGUAGGAAGGAAAUAUUUUGGUUUUUCUAAUGGUAAAGUUACACCAAAAAUGUGCUUGUAAGCCAAGAUCUCUGGGAGAUGGCUGCAGCAUCAGUCUUCUUUCUGAACCCUACCCCUCCCGUGGCACACAGAGGCACUUUGAUGGUGUGUGACUUGGUUUAAGAAAUUGAAAGUCGACAUAAACCUUGCCUUAAUACUGCAGUCUGUGGAAGGAACAAGCACAGGCUUUCUGAGGGGUGAGGGCUUGCAACACGCGAGGCUUGUGAGCUGUUAGACCAAACAUCUGGGACCUCCAGAAUGGCUGCAUUGAUGGAUCCAGCAGAAGUCACAAAGGCAAACUGGCAGCUGUAUCACUACCAGUUGGUCACCAGCAAUCGUGACUGCAUACUUGAACAGACAUGCCAAAAAUAUUCUCUGCUGUAGGAUUUAUUUGCUAGUUCAGAAGCAUUUUAUAAUAGCAGAUAAAGAAACUCUGUUGGAUUGUCCCCAUUCGUACUCCUAGUAAAAACGAACUAUACAGUGCAAAUGAUAUUUUUC